AAGCAUAUUGCAUUUGAGGCAAGAUGAAACUUAUGGGAUCCUUGAGGAAUUGACACGUCAAAUGACAAGUAUAAAUAAACGAUAUAGCUGCCUUAAUCAGCAAUGUAUUGACGACGAAUCAGAGCUCUUGCUUGUUACAAACUAAUUAGAGGCAAGAAGAUUAUUUAUUUUUUGCACUGGGUCGUCGCAGUAUAUAGUGGAGUUCUUGCUGCAGUGACAAUCUCGGUGAUCUAAUCCGGCUGUGGGUGACUGCAUCAACGUCGAAUCCAAUGAUUUCGGCAGUGACAACUCCAGAGAUCUGAUCCUCAUAUGAUCUUCCACAUGAUAACACCCCUUAUCUUUGUUGUGGAUUCUCAGGAAACGUUCUCGCGAUUGGAAUAAUAUCACCCAUGGGAGAAUCAGUGACAUGGUUUUUGAAUAUGAAGGAGUCAACUUCCAUCCUCUUUUACUAAUGGAGAUAUCAGGAAAAUCAUUUUGCAUCUCCAGUUCUUCUAUGGUAUGUUAUUUAUAAAAGGAUGUCUUGAGAAGCUAAUUACUUUGGCAGCACUUUUUCAUAAUAUUUGGUACAGUGAUGCUACAUGGACAAACUUUUUUGUGAACCAAGUCCAACCAAGUUAUUGCAACCCCAACAAAAACCAUUCUUAGCACUAAGGGUGUGUAAAACAUGCUCCCACUCACCCAAACCUUUGGUAGACAGCAUAAAUCAUAAUCACUCAUAAAUCAUAAUCACUACUUCCUCUUAUAUUCUCACUCUCAGAAACUAAACAAGCAUCAACAAAGACACAGAACCGCAAACCAAAUGAGCAUCAACGAAGCAAAUCACUACUUUCAUCUCACAGUCUCUUUCUCGAAACCCUACUUUGGUAAAGCAAACCAAACAAACUAAAAACAGAGUAUCAACGAAGGUAAAUCAUUGAAUACUACUCUUUUUUUGUGCUUUUCAGUCGGAAUACACCGCA